GGAGCCAGCCGCUCUGGGAUGAACAUUAAAAAAUAUAUUAUAUAUAUAUAUUUUAAAACCCACUUAUGGUUUCGGAUUCGAGUCUCAUCCCCAAACACUCACUGCUCGUCUUUAAAACAUGCAGAUGUUUUGCUGCUAACGGGUUCAUAAUCCACUUAUGGAGCUUGUGAAUAGUUUAUGGACGACUAAUUAAUCCAGCUUUUAACUCGGUGUGAGUUAUUGUCAGGUGUGUAAUCAAGAGCCCCGACAGCCAGGAGUGUAGGUGAAGGGCUCGUCUGUUUUCCUGAAGUUUCAAAAAUAAUAUUUUAACCGUCUGUCGUUACACUAUAAAAAGGAAUUUUUGGAGGCUGUUGAAUAUUAGGCGAUGAAAUGAAAUGAAAAUUGAAUCAAGGGUCAACAUUGUUGCUGGAAUUUGACUAAAACAGUUGGUUCAGUCAACUGUUCUCACUCAUCUUGUGUCUAACAGGCAGGAUGACAUUUCUGCCGGGUGAAUUAUGAGUGGAUAAAUCAACUCAGUAAAAAGAACAAAAAAAAAAAAACGACACGUUCCCUUAAGAUGUGUGGUUGUGAUGUUUUCUGUUUUUGAGCAAGAACUCGGUUUGUGUUCAGCUUUUAGCAUCAGCGCUAACGUUUAUGGUGAAACUUGCUAACAAGUUAAAUCUGCGGCCUUCGUUAAUGGAUGAUUCAUCUUGACUGUGGGGGUCUUAGAACAUUUCUUUAUUCCAACUUUUUAGAAUAAACUUUAAAUUUGUUCUAUUUCAAUACCUUCUCAGCUUUGGCUAGCUUAGCUACAGGGCUAACGCUAAAGUUGACGUUGCUAGCAGGCUAGGUGUCCUGAACCGUCGGCAGCCAUUGAUUUUGAAUGGUUCAUUCUAGCUGAGGGUGACUGGGAACAUCUGUGUGUUAAAAGUUCACUAUUUCAGCUCCAUUUUGUGACUUUGCUAGAUUAGUAUUACAUUUUAUAGCUUAAUCGUGAGCUAAUGUUUAUGUUUUGUUUUAACCAUUGGAGAACAAUCCAGAUUAGCAAAAAUGAUCUUAAUUGGAACCAAGUUAAAUUAGUCGAGUGAGUAAAUCUUGUUUGGAGUUAUUAUCAAAGUCUCACAUAGCUGUUGAGCUACGCAAAUUAUUACUUCAGUUUUAUUGAUAAAAUACUGACAGUUUGUUUUAUUAGUGUGGUCCAUUUGUCUGCAGGUUGCGGACCUUCCCUUCUCUUACUCAAACUAUUCGGAUUAAUAUUAACCUUAGAGCAAAAUUAUGAAAAUGAGCAACACAUUUAAUAAUUGAGGAGAGAGCUCACUAUUCCAUUCCAUAAGAAUAACUAGGUUAUUUGUAAAUGAUGCUUGCGUUUAGCCCUCCAAUUGUUGUUGCUACAUUAAAAAAAAAAAAACUAUUGGAAUUUCAGUUUUGGUCUUAAUCUUAGGCUGAAGUAGUGCAAACUCUUGGUGAGCGCACCUUUUUAGGUCUGAAUCGCAGCUGAUGGUGUCCGGCUCCCCCGCAGCUGCGCCGAAUGGGUCGCUCCACUCUGCCCGCUCUGUCCAAUGGCAGAGAGGCGCAGGGCUGGGGGCUCCCCCCCCCUCUAUUGGUUCUCUAUAGCGUGAUCGAUCCGAAGUCGAUUGAUAAGAGUUCUUAGGCCACAUUUGCGAGCGGUGCGCAAACUAGGAAAAGAAAAAAAGAAAAAGAAAAAAAAAAAAAAGAGUCGUUUGCGGAGAGAAAACACACAACUUUGCGCCUCCGCCGGUUUUUACGGUGCUUAACUCAAUUUAAAAAGCAAAUUAUCUGGCCAGAAAGGGUCUCUGCGUGUUUCUCUUUCAGUCUAACGCACACAAACGCGCGCACACACACAUAUAUAUAUAUAUAUAUGAUUUCAUGCAGGUUUUCAAAACGUCUUAAAGUAAAGAAAGUUAAACUCUGAUCAUGUUGCAAAACGUGUGCAUUUAAAGUGAAAUUAAUUCCUAAUUCACUUUAAAAGAAAAACGGACUGCUGUGCGCCAAAUCGCUUUCUUCGCAGAGAUUCUAAAAGUUUUUGGUGAACAUGAAUGGAUUUUAAAUGACGAUGCGAAACGUACAAUGAAUGUGCGCUCAUUGUACUGGCAUUAUUGGCAUUAUUUAUUGCAUUAUUGAUGCCGUGUGGUAUUAAAUGAUUACAACAAUUAUUAAAAAAAAAAAAAUCUGUCUCGUUAGAUGAGAUUUCUUGACAGUAACUUAUUUGAUUUCCAUCAACCUUUCUAAAUUCUAUUAUUUUUCCCUUUACGCCAAUUAAGACUCUACCUCAAUACUUGCUUUAAAAAAUAAAUACGGAGAUUUUUCAAGCACGUGACUAGUGUUUACUAGGGGGGGGGGGGGGGGGAACAUGGAUGUAGAGUUUCCAGAAAUGACCAGAAUUAUAAAAUGUUAAAUAUACAUAACGUAUAUAAAUAACGUUUAUCUGAUCUCGCUUCUGAGUUUUACGCAUCUCUUCCUCCCACUGCAACUUGUGAAUGAACAGAGUGAGAGAGUAGAAGAGCCCUAAUGUCCCCCUGAUUGAGCUCAGAAAGUGUCGUUGGUCGGUUUGCAGUUUUCUUUUCUUUCUUUUUUUUUUUUUUUCUUUUCUUUUCCCUUCCCCCUUCGCCCAGGAGCGUCCAGCCAUCGAUCAUCUGCCCCCCGGUGCCACCGCCGGUGUCGCAACACGGAUAACGCGGCUUCACGCGCUCGGCGCUGAUUCCUGAGCCACUAAGUCCCCCCGCGAGCGGUCGGAUUCGAGGGGAUGAUUUUACGGGCAUGAAAUGACCGGUUUUGAAGAAGAAGAAGAAAAAAAAAAGAAAGAAAGAAAGAAAAAGAAAAGGCUGCUUCAGUCCGGCCGGCGCGCGGCUCCUCCGUGGAGCGGUCAGACGGCCGGAGGAUCCGCCGGGGACUUAUACGCACUGAGGAAACGCGGACCAACGCGUAGACUGACUUGUUGUUCUGUUUAUUUCAGCUGUUUUGGCUGUUGCUUGUGACACGUUACGCCACACCUGCCGCCGACAAUUCCUCUUCUCCACUCUCGUUCAGCGCGUCCCGAGUUUCGAGGAGCAGAGACGGAGCCAGGAGAAAUGGCGCGAAUCGUGUGGACCGGAAGAGUUUGGAUCGUAUCGGCGCCGAUUUGGAGAUCAGUAGUCAAUAUUUUGUCAUCUGCGCGAAAGAUGGAUUAUUUUUUUUAAGAUCGCGCGGUCUUUGCAUCGCUUUGUUUGCCUUCAGGAGAGCAAAGUUGUUUCCAGAAAUAGGAUGGGUUCACGUGACCCGCACUGAAAAAAAAAACCAAACUUUCAUUUUACACAGGCUUUAAUGGUGGCCUAAUUAUCAAGUAAUUAACUUUUAUAAAGAUAAUUGAUCCGAGUUAUUAUGUUUUAUAAUAGCUUUAAGCUAAUCAGUGGUUUGCUUAAAUAAUAAAAAAAAGUAACUUAAUGA